UUGUUCCCUUGUUGGCAUAUUUCAUUUUCUUCCCUGAAAAUGGGUAGACUGAGAUAAGGUAUGAGGAAGCCUUGGCCAUGCCACCAGCCGCUUAUCCCAAAUUCCUGAUCCCUGGAAGACAUCUGGGCUCUCCCUCCUGUUCCAGCCCAGUAGCUUCCAGCAAAGGUACUGGCUCAAUUGGACACGGAGUGUGGAACUGCCUGCUCACACUUGUGAACCCCCGUCCAGAAGGAAGAAACAGAAAGGGCCCAGUGAGUAUAGGAAGAUGCCAGGGCCCACUGUGGAAAGCCUGGAGCCAAGUUUUUCUUAAAUGCAAAUGUCCCCAGUGUGGGGUCACGUCCAAGCUCCAGAAGGAAGCCUGGCCUGGGCGGGGGGGUGGGAGGGCUGUUGCUAGAACCUGUCAAUCCUGCUCCACACUUCCGAGUUUUCCGUGGCUUCUCCUGAAACCCGGGCCUAGGGGGUGGGGCUUGAUUCCUAUCCUAGGGGUACUGGGCGGGGUCGUGUAAAUUAUCCAAUCAGGCGCUCCGCCAGGAGGGUGGGGCCAAGCUCCGCAAGUCUAAGGGGCUCCUGUUCCCCUAACCCACUGAAUUCAGCCUUCCAGAGGCCGAGGUGGCUCCACCACAGCUUCUGUCCGGUGGUGACCAGCACUGAUCUCCGGAGCCAAGGGAGGACCCGGGACACCUGGGAGCCGGGAAAUGCUGCAGCCCAAGAGGCCAACUGGAACGUUAACAUCAGACACUAAUCCAGCUGACUGAGAUUUUUUAAACUGACAGGAUCAUGGCCAUUUCACAGACAACUACCCAAAAAUAUCUACAGACGGCACUGCUCCUACCAACCCGAUACCAGAGAACUCUCUGUCCCCUCGUCAGCAGGAAGUAGCCAGAAAGAACAUGCCGCCCCUCGUCCUUUUUAUAACUAUGAGGUCUGGAUUGACAGAGCAGAAGCAUCACCAUUGUGGAUAAGCGCCUCAUUUUAAAAUUCACCUUAAUCAAAAACUGCCUAAAUCCAAAGGGCAUCAGCCUAAUGGCUAAGGUCAGCAUGAUCACAAACCACAAAUAACAUCUCCAACCAAAAACAUUCCAGACACCUCCCACAGAGAAAUGCUAGCCUCGGGAUAACCCCUCUCCUGCCGGAAAGAUGUCACCCCCAAGAUAACCACCCCUCCGCCCAGAACAUUCCAACCCUGCCACAAACUUCUCCCCCACACAGAAACAUUCCAAGCUUGUAAUAAGCUCCCUCACCCUAAAACCAACGUACAUUCUUAGUCUGCAAGGAAAAGUGCUCCUGACUGACCAGCCAGAAUCCUCUCUCAGGUCUUUUCUAUAAUAAACCUGUCUU
rnacentral:lncRNA from 10 species